ACGCUCGACACCUACGGGGGCAGCAGUCGGGAAUAUUGCGCAAUGGAGGAAACUCUGACGCAGUGACGCCGCGUAUGGGAAGAAGGUUUUCGGAUUGUAAACCAUUUUAGACAGGGAAGAAAAAAGACAGUACCUGUAGAAUAAGCUCCGGCUAACUACGUGCCAGCAGCCGACGGUAAUCUGAGGCGGGCGUGGACGAAGGC
rnacentral:rRNA from 1 species